ensembl:lncRNA
CUCCAAGGACCCAGAGCUGGCUGCUGCAGGAAGUCCUAGAUCACAACUCUGCAGUUCCUCUUCCCAGGUCUUGCUUUUAACUACUGUACCCAACACAAAGCCUCCCUUGCAGGCUUACCAGAGCAAGAAAAUGAAAUGGCCACCUCCUGUAACAAGAAAGACUUCUAGAAGAGGUAGGAGACAUCAAUACAUUCACAAAACCUUCAACUCGAAAUCUGUCUGGCCAAUAAGUGUGCAGGGAUAAAGACAGAAAAGUAGCACACCUGUCUCCAGAGGCUUCACUCAGCAGCUGAAAGCCACAGCCAAUCCUCAGAUGGAGCUCGGGAAGUCUUGUGGAAGAGUGGGGGAGAGUGCCAAGCAAACUGGUUGGGUUAAAACACUACAAGAAGCCCCCUACCGUCAGAUACUUUAGACCAUGGAGUAUGCUAGAGCCUGUGCAACCAACCCCAGUGCCGGGUUAGCUAUCUGCCGUUGGUCUCCAUGUGGGUCAUCUGACAAGUAGAUCCAAGACUGUCUCAGUCUGUGUUGCCUGCCAUUGGAUCUGUUCCCCAUACCCGGACUGCCUGAUUGUAAAUCUGUGGGGCAGAAUGUGCUCGGGCCACCUGGGACUAGAUGUCCCAGGGUGGUGUCGUACCCAAGGGACUCUCCCCUUGUCCAAAGAGAAGUGAGAGCAUUAUGGUAGAAAGGAUUUGUAAGGUCGGACUGGGAAGGGAAGAGGGAUAGUGACUGGGAUCAGGAUGUAACCUGAAUAAAGAAGAAAUUAUUGGAACUAAAAAAGUUAGCCUGGAAAAUGGAAAGAUUGAUAAGUGGCUAAGAGCACUGAAUGCUCUUCCAGAGGUCCUGAGUUCAAAUCCCAGCAAACACAUGGAGGCUCACAAAUGUCUCUAAUGACAUCUGAUGCCCUCUCUGGUCUUUCUAAAUACAGCUACCCUGUACGUAUGUAUAACGAAUGAUUGAAUGAAUGAAUGAAUGAAUGAAU